UACGUAGGGUGCAAGCGUUAUCCGGAUUUAUUGGGCGUAAAGAGCUCGUAGGCGGUCUGUUGCGUCCGCUGUGAAAACUCGGGGCUUAACCCCGAGCCUGCAGUGGAUACGGGCAGACUAGAGGUAGGUAGGGGAGAAUGGAAUUCCCGGUGUAGCGGUGAAAUGCGCAGAUAUCAGGAAGAACACCCGUGGCGAAGGCGGCUCUCUGGGACGGUACUGACGCUGAGACGCGAAAGCGUGGGGAGCGAACAGG
rnacentral:rRNA from 1 species